GGUGCCCGCAGCCGGCGAGAGGCCGCUCAGCGCGCUCGGCAAUCGAUUACAGGACAAGUGCGGCCGCCGCCGCCGCCGCCACAGAGCGCGCCCCGCGCCUCACGCGGGCGGGCGGGCGGGCACGCGCGCCCUCAGGGCACGGCCGCGGCCCCGCGGGGCGGCCCCUCGGCGGGCACCCCUCACACAGCCCGGGCACCGCGCUCCGCGCCCGCCGGGCGGGGGAAGGGGCCGGCGGAGUCAUGAUUCAGCACUUCUAUUUAUAAUCGGCCGGGGGGCGGCCGGCGGGGAGGGGCGCGCCGCUGCCGGGCUUGUUACUUAAUUAAACGUUCACGGUAAAUACGAGCGGAGUUUGUGGUCCGCUUAUGUUGAGACAACCUGGUUACAAUCAAGAUUCUACGUGCCAUCCCCCCCUCUCCCGAGAAGUCGAUGUGGUGGGGAAAGGGGAAAAAAAUCACCAUUACUGUCCUGAGGGAAACCCUGACGCUGCCCCACAGCCAAGGCUGAAGGAACAGCCCCGAGUGUUCCCCACAGUGAAGGGACAUCCCCCACAGUGAGGGGAUACCUCAUAAAUCAGGGAUUACCCCCACAGUGAGGGGGCACUCCAUAAGUGAGGGAUUAUCCCCACAGUGAGGGGACACCCCAUAAGUGAGAGAACAUCCCCACAGUGAAGGGGCAUCCCCCUAAGUGAGGAAUUACCCCCACAGACCCACUCAGAGGCCUGACCCAAACCCACCACAGCUGGCUGAGGGUGAAUGUCUGAUGUGCUUCCUUACAGUUUUCUCUGCUCUCCACAGGUCCUGGAUCAGAUGCAGGAGCAUUGUCCUGGUUUCUUCUCUUUGAGCUGCCAGGUGCUGAUGGCCGUGGCAAUGCCAUCAUGAGACACCAGAAUUUACUGUCCAUUAAGGAGCUGAGGUUAUGUAUGUCAUGCGCGAUAUACGCAGAAGGGGCACUUUGAAGACAAACUGGAUCCAGUCCCAAUAUACUUUGAAGAGGACAAACACAGACCUUUCUUUACUUAACUGUGCGUUGGGCAACCUAAAAACCAUAUAAACACUAAUCUAUCCGUUAUUCCAUCUCCUCCUCUCUGCUACAGUGAAGCACUGUUUUAUGCUUAUAUGCAUCAAUAAAGAGACCUAUAAAGAAAAUAAUGAACAUCCUUGAAUA